rnacentral:rRNA from 1 species
AAAUAGCCGCGGUAUUCUAACCGUGCUAAGGUAGCAUAAUAAUUUUCUUUUUAAUUAAAAGAUGGGAUGAAGGAGUGAACAGGGUGAUUUUGUAUCAUUUUUAAAGGAAUAAUUUUAUUUAGGAGUUAAAAAGCUUCUGAGUUUUAGAAAGACGAUAAGACCCUAUAAAACUUUACUAAUAAUAGUUAUUAGUAUUUAAGCUUGCAAAUUUAGUAUUAGUUAAGCUGGGGCGGCUUGUUUCUUAAGACGAGAGAUUAAAUAACAUAUUGAAUGGGGUUAAUAAGCGCAUGAUUAGCAAUAAAGAUUAAGUUACUUUAGGGAGUACACAGUAAUACUCUUGAAGAGUCCUUAUCGAUAAGGGUGUUUGCUACCUCGAUGUUGAAUUGAGUUGUCUACUGCGAGCAGUUUUUUCAGGGUAGAGGCG